AUUGAACGCUGGCGGCACGCUUAACACAUGCAAGUCGAACGGUAGCAGGUCCUUCGGGAUGCUGACGAGUGGCGGACGGGUGAGUAAUGCGUAGGAAUCUGCCUUGUCGAGUGGGAUAGCCUAGGGAAACUUAGGGUAAUACCGCGUAAGCCCUACGGGGGAGAGCAGGGGAUCGCAAGACCUUGCGCGAUGAGAUGAGCCUACGUCGGAUUAGCUAGUUGGUAGGGUAAAGGACUACCAAGUCGAUGAUCCGUAGCUGUUCUGAGAGGACGACCAGCCACACUGGGACUAAGACACCGCCCAGACUCCUACGGGAGGCUGCAGUCGAGGAUCAUUCGCGAUGCGCGAAAGCGUGACGAUGCGACGCUGCGUGGGGGAUGAAGGCCUUCGGGUCGUAAACUCCUGUCAUUUGGGAAAAACGACUCCGUUCAGAACAUGGGCGGGGUGUGAUGGUACCGAAAGAGGAAGCCACGGCUAACUCUGUGCCAGCCGCCGCGGUAACAC
rnacentral:rRNA from 1 species